CGAAUAAGAAAAUGCCACGUUGCGUGUAAGCAACUUGCGAGCCUCAUCUCCUUCAGUCAGCGCCACAAUCAUUUCCCUAUCUGUUGAUAUGGUUGGACCUUAAACCAACCAGAAGAUGGCCAUCUCUCUUAAUUCAAUCGUCGGCUUCAACGCACCGCAUGUGUCAAAAUCUUCUAUAAGAGCUGCUGCACUAAGGCCGAUCCAGUUCACUUCCCCCUUGAGCAUAAGGAAAAGAACAUGGGGCUUGUGUCUUUCACUUGCAGAUGGAGAUGGUCUUGCCACUAAAACUAGUAAAGAGAGUUCUGGAGAUUCAAAAGGAUCAUUUUCUGAAAAUCAAGUUUCAGCUGUGAACACCUCGUCUUUGGAUUCUCAUGAGGUCAAUAGCACACUCCAAACCAGUUUUGAUGAUUCUGGGCCUCAAGCCUCUGAGGCUUCUAAUGGUUCAGUGGUAUCUUCAGAUGAGAAGCAGGAUGGGUCAUCAUCUCCUAUUGUGCAAUCUGCACGAAAAAGAUCACCACUAACAGCUAGGGAUAGACUGAGGGCAGCCCGUGUUCUUAGCCGGUACAAUGAAGCAAAGGCUUCUAAAUCAGAAAUGGGCAGUAAAGUAUUAGAUGCUUUGAAGGAAAGUGAUCGGGGAAAGAAAAAGAAAAAAUCAGGCCUUCCUGAGGCCCCUUUAAAUUUGUUGGAUGACAGCAAGAGAGGGUUGCCAAAACCAGGCCUAACUUUCCAGUUUCCAGGGGGCACAGAUCUGUUUAUUAUUGCCUUCUCGUUUGUUUUCAUCAGCACAGUGAUGUUUGCAACAACUUACAUUGUCUGGAAAGUCGGUGCCAUCCAUUUCAAUGAGUACUAAGGUGGAGGGAAGUAGAAUUUUGUAUUUUAGGAAGAUCAAAAUCCAAUUUUAAUUUCAGAUCAUUUAUGGGCUGUUGGAGCAUCAUAUAUGUCAUGCGUUGUGUUUCAGUUAACACAUCUUCAUCAUCGUUGAAAAAAUACCAAUCACUAAGUAGAGAGGAUGCCAACAUUAAAUUGUUGAGAGAGCACGUUGUGUUUAUGUCGCAUGUGCCCAUUGUGAGAACUUGCCGAUGAUACAAAUCUUGCCAUUCUUUUCAAGAAAUGGGGCAGAGGAGGAGAUAAAGAUGAUGAAUUAUUGAUGGUCUUUGGAUUCUAAGGGAAAACUUGGUGUGUGGGUGGUUGAUAAGAGGUCGUGUCAAUCUUUAAAGUUCUUUAUGGUGAGUUACAAUGUUUUAGUGUGACCAGGGCCCUACUCACAACCAAACUGUUUUGUGUAAUUGAGGCCUUCUUGUUUGCUUGUGUAGAACACGCAGAAGACUUAUCUUCAGCACGAGCAAGAGAAAGUGGACAAGAAAAGCCACCAUAAUGAAUGACCUCUUGCAUAUCAUCUUGAUAUAA